rnacentral:rRNA from 1 species
UACGAAGGGGGCUAGCGUUGCUCGGAAUCACUGGGCGUAAAGGGCGCGUAGGCGGGCUCUUAAGUCAGUGGUGAAAGCCCGGAGCUCAACUCCGGAAUUGCCAUUGAAACUGUUCGGCUCGAGUACGAGAGAGGUGAGUGGAAUUCCCAGUGUAGAGGUGAAAUUCGUAGAUAUUGGGAAGAACACCGGUGGCGAAGGCGGCUCACUGGCUCGUUACUGACGCUGAGGUGCGAAAGCGUGGGGAGCAAACAGG